rnacentral:rRNA from 1 species
GACAGAGGUGGCAAGCGUUGUUCGGAUUUACUGGGCGUAAAGAGCUCGUAGGCGGUGUGUCACGUCGGCCGUGAAAACCUGCAGCUUAACUGUGGGCGUGCGGUCGAUACGGGCAUCACUGGAGUUCGGCAGGGGAGACUGGAAUUCCUGGUGUAGCGGUGAAAUGCGCAGAUAUCAGGAGGAACACCGGUGGCGAAGGCGGGUCUCUGGGCCGAUACUGACGCUGAGGAGCGAAAGCGUGGGGAGCAAACAGG